CAACAGAAUCAUCACCAGGAACAAGAGCAUGAUUUCCUGUACCUGUGAAAUUCUCUCUCCUCCUCCUGGGCAUCGUGGGAUUCCUGCAGGCUGAGUGCGAUCGCGGUCUGCAGUUCAUCUUUACGAAUAUCUACAUAAAUAUGAUUCGCCUGGAGCCCCAGGAUCCUGAUGAUCUCCGGGGUCCUGAACCUCUGCAGUCUGUGCUGUUAGGAGUCCAACAGCAUGGCCAACAUCGCCUUGACUGGCCUUACACACAGAAGCAGACAAAAAAAAUGAUUCAAUCUUACAUUCAAGGCUCUGAAGAGAAUCUGUGGAUCCUGGAUGCCUGUGAUUUCCCUCAGCUGGUUGAUCAGCAUCUCGCUCUGCUGGUUGAUACAGAUGCAGAGAAAACUAGC